rnacentral:rRNA from 1 species
GAUGAACGCUGGCGGCGUGCUUAAUACAUGCAAGUCGAACGAAGCUCUUUUUCUUCGGAUGAAGAGUCUUAGUGGCGAACGGGUGCGUAACGCGUUGGUAACCUGCCCCAAAGAGGGGGAUAACAGUUCGAAAGGACUGCUAAUACCCCAUGUGAUCAUCAGGGUUAGAUACUUGAUGAUGAAAGGAGUAAUCCGCUUUGGGAGGGGCCUGCGUCCCAUCAGCUUGUUGGUAGGGUAAUGGCCUACCAAGGCUAUGACGGGUAGGGGACCUGAGAGGGUGGCCCCCCACACUGGCACUGAAAUACGGGCCAGACACCUACGGGUGGCAGCAGUAGGGAAUAUUGGACAAUGGGCGAAAGCCUGAUCCAGCAACGCCGCGUGCACGAUGACGGCCUUCGGGUUGUAAAGUGCUUUUAGGAGAGAUGAGAAAGGACAGUAUCUCCUGAAUAAGCCUCGGCGAACUACGUGCCAGCAGCCGCGGUAAAACGUAGGAGGCGAGCGUUAUCCGGAUUUAUUGGGCGUAAAGCGCGUGCAGGCGGUUUGGUAAGUUGGAUGUGAAAGCUCCUGGCUUAACUGGGAGAGGUCGUUCAAAACUACCAGACUAGAGAAUGGGAGAGGGAAGUGGAAUUCCGGGUGUAGUGGUGAAAUGCGUAGAUAUCCGGAGGAACACCAGUGGCGAAAGCGGCUUCCUGGACCAUUUCUGACGCUAAGACGCGAAAGCUAGGGGAGCGAACGGGAUUAGAGACCCCGGUAGUCCUAGCUGUAAACGAUGUAGACUUGGCGUUGGCGGAGUUAAAUCUGCCAGUGCCGGAGCUAACGCGUUAAGUCUACCGCCUGGGGACUACGACCGCAAGGUUAAAACUCAAGGAAUUGACGGGGACCCGCACAAGCAGCGGAGCGUGUGGUUUAAUUCGAUGCUACACGAAGAACCUUACCAGGGUUUGACAUGC